rnacentral:rRNA from 1 species
CCCUUAGAUGUUCUGGGCCGCACGCGCGCUACACUGAUGCGUUCAACGAGCCUAUCCUUGACCGACAGGUCCGGGUAAUCUUUGAAUCUGCAUCGUGACGGGGAUAGAUUAUUGCAAUUAUUAAUCUUCGACGAGGAAUGCCUAGUAGGCGCAAGUCAUCAGCUUGCGUCGAUUACGUCCCUGCCCUUUGUACACACCGCCCGUCGCUCCUACCGAUUGGGUGUGCUGGUGAAAUGUUCGGAUCGGCCGUUUGUCGCGGUUUCCGCGGCUCGUGGCUGAGAAGUUCAUUAAACCCUCCCACCUAGAGGAAGGAGAAGUCGUAACA